UUUCCGGUUGAUCCCGCCAGACCUGACUGCUAUCGGAUUGAUACUAAGCCAUGCGAGUCAUUGUAGUAAUACAAGGCAUACGGCUCAGUAACGCGUAGUCAACCUAACCUAUGGACGGGAAUAACCUCGGGAAACUGAGUAUAAUGCCCGAUAGAACAUUAUGCCUGGAAUGGUUUAUGUUCCAAAUGAUUUAUCGCCGUAGGAUGGGACUGCGGCCUAUCAGUUUGUUGGUGAGGUAAUGGCCCACCAAGACUAUUACAGGUACGGGCUCUGAGAGGAGUAGCCCGGAGAUGGGUACUGAGACACGGACCCAGGCCCUAUGGGGCGCAGCAGGCGAGAAAACUUUGCAAUGUGCGAAAGCACGACAAGGUUAAUCCGAGUGGUUUCUGCUAAAGGAACCUUUUGUUAGUCCUAGAAACACUAACGAAUAAGGGGUGGGCAAGUUCUGGUGUCAGCCGCCGCGGUAAAACCAGCACCUCAAGUGGUCAGGAUGAUUAUUGGGCCUAAAGCAUCCGUAGCCGGAUCUGUAAGUUUUCGGUUAAAUCUGUACGCUCAACGUACAGGCUGCCGGGAAUACUGCAGAUCUAGGGAGUGGGAGAGGUAGACGGUACUCGGGAGGAAGGGGUAAAAUCCUUUGAUCUCUCGAUGACCACCUGUGGCGAAGGCGGUCUACCAGAACACGUCCGACGGUGAGGGAUGAAAGCUGGGGGAGCAAACCGGACUAGAUACCCGGGUAGUCCCAGCUGUAAACUAUGCAAACUCAGUGAUGCAUUGACUUGUGGUCAAUGCAGUGCUGCAGGGAAGCCGUUAAGUUUGCCGCCUGGGAAGUACGUACGCAAGUAUGAAACUUAAAGGAAUUGGCGGGGGAGCACCACAAGGGGUGAAGCCUGCGGUUCAAUU
rnacentral:rRNA from 1 species